GUGCUCACUUCAGCAGCACACAUACUAAACUGGAAUGAUACGGAGAUUAGCAUUGCCCCUAGACAAGAUGGUAUGCAAAUUUGUAACAUGUUCUGUGUUUUG